rnacentral:rRNA from 1 species
GCGGCGGACGGGUGAGUAACACGUGGAUAACCUACCUAUAAGACUGGGAUAACUUCGGGAAACCGGAGCUAAUACCGGAUAGGAGCCAUCUUUAGUGUGGUGGUUGGAAAGUUUUUUCGGUGUAGGAUGAGCUCGCGGCCUAUCAGCUUGUUGGUGGGGUAAUGGCCUACCAAGGCGGCGACGGGUAGCCGGCCUGAGAGGGUGUACGGCCACAUUGGGACUGAGAUACGGCCCAGACUCCUACGGGAGGCAGCAGUGGGGAAUAUUGCACAAUGGGCGCAAGCCUGAUGCAGCGACGCCGCGUGGGGGAUGAAGGCCUUCGGGUUGUAAACUCCUUUCGCUAGGGACGAAGCUUUGUUGUGACGGUACCUAGAUAAGAAGCACCGGCUAACUACGUGCCAGCAGCCGCGGUAAUACGUAGGGUGCGAGCGUUGUCCGGAAUUACUGGGCGUAAAGGGCUCGUAGGUGGUUUGUCGCGUCGUCUGUGAAAUUCUGGGGCUUAACUCCGGGCGUGCAGGCGAUACGGGCAUAACUUGAGUGCUGUAGGGGUAACUGGAAUUCCUGGUGUAGCGGUGAAAUGCGCAGAUAUCAGGAGGAACACCGAUGGCGAAGGCAGGUUACUGGGCAGUUACUG